UUGCUCAAGUCUCAAAUACCAGAGCAAAGCAAGACAACAAAUAUUUGCCUUAAACGUAUUGAAUAGCAUAAUCGAAACAAGUUUAACCAAAUUAUAUAAUUGCUGUCACAUAUCAUCAUAGUGAGCACAGUUAUGUUUCAAAUGGCUUUUAACUGGUUUUCAUAUUUGUGGCCGGUAAUUAUCAUGCAAAAGUUCACAAGCGACCAGGAACAUGUAAGAGGCAAAAGUAAAAAGUAAAACAAAACAAAGCAAAAAUUACGAGCACUUUGGGUGCUUACAGAUAUGGCGAAAACGACUUCUACGCAGACAAUAAAA